UCGGGAAUUUUGGGCAAUGGGCGAAAGCCUGAUCCAGCCAUGCCGCGUGAGUGAUGAAGGCCUUCGGGUUGUAAAACUCUUUCGACGGGGACGAUAAUGACGGUACCCGUAGAAGAAGCUCCGGCUAACUUCGUGCCAGCAGCCGCGGUAAUACGAAGGGGGCUAGCGUUGUUCGGAAUUACUGGGCGUAAAGCGCGCGCAGGCGGCUAUCCAAGUCAGUGGUGAAAGCCCGGAGCUCAACUCCGGAACUGCCAUUGAAACUGUUUAGCUUGAGGACGAGAGAGGUGAGUGGAAUUCCCAGUGUAGAGGUGAAAUUCGUAGAUAUUGGGAAGAACACCAGUGGCGAAGGCGGCUCACUGGCUCGUAUCUGACGCUCAGGCGCGAUAGCGUGGGGAUCAAACA
rnacentral:rRNA from 1 species